rnacentral:lncRNA from 1 species
AUAAUGAGGUUAUGGGAUCAGAUUUUAAAAAGAACAACAAGAAGGACUCUGGACAAUAAUACUACCAGGGAAAAAUGCGUUAGUGUUGAUAUCAACCCGAUCACCUUAAAAUUUAAGAAGAAAAUCGAAAAAUAUGCAAGAUCUAAGAUCGUAUUUGCCAGGAGGAAUACCCUUUUUAAUGUUGUUAGAAAUGACAAGGAUAAGAUAGACCGGUCCUUAAUACUGGGGGUGUAUUCCUGCCAAGGAUAAUGAUUUCAAUCAAAAUGUUAGUUAUAUAGGUUAUACGGCCAGAUCCUUAUCGAAGAGAUUAAAAGAACAUAUGAAAGAUGUGGAGAAAAAGGCUACAACAACAGCCUUGGCGCAAAGAGCACUCUCGUCAGACUUAAAACAUAGACUGGGAUGGUGCUCGGAUCUUAAGGAAAGAAGACGAUCCUAAGAGAGGGAAGAUAGCAGAAGCAAUAAAAAUUUAU